AAGACUAUAGACCUGCGGAGUACCUGCGGAGGGAUCAUUAAAGAGUUUAACUACUCAAACCAUUGUGAACCUUACCUCAACCGUUGCUUCGGCGGGCGGGCCCGGGCCAAGCCCGGCGCCCCCCCGGCCCCUCGCGGGCGCCCGCCGGAGGUUAACCGAACCCUUGAAUUGUAUGGCCUCUCUGAGUCUUCUGUACUGAAUAAGUCAAAACUUUUAGCAAUGGAUCUCUAGAUCGGAAGA
rnacentral:misc_RNA from 1 species